ensembl:lincRNA Gm14230 predicted gene 14230
GGCCCGCUCCUCCUUUCAGAGAGUGUUUCCGGAGCGCCUACUGUGUGCUCCUCCAUGGGGGUGGGGGCACUACCAGGCACAAAGGGUGCCAGUCCCCGUACCUUUGUAAGUUCGCCUCCUCCUCUGGGAGCUUGCCCUUGUGGGGAUGGGGAAACUGAGGCUCAGUCGGCUCAGAGUAACUCCCAGGUGCUAAAGGACCAGUUGUUUUGUCCGCUCAUAAGGCAAACGGCGCGGCGAAGACCACUUGGGAUAAAACCCCAAGCCUAGCGCAGAUGGUCGGCCAGGGGAGCCUCUGGUGGGCAGUCACAAGCCCACGGAUUCCACCAGUGACCCCAGGCCUGCUCACAUGAGUGACGCGUUCCUCCCCAUGGCCAGCAGCAGAGCGGACUGAAUGCUGGGUGACAGGCUGGCCUCAGACUCCGGUGCUCAAGGAUAUUCUUGCUUCAGGUUCCCAAAUAGCACUGCACACUGCACACGUGAAUCCCCAUGCCUGAUGCCCGGCUGAAGGCUCUCGAAAUCGUGAGGAAAGAAACUGGGAGCAGUUGAAAGAAACCUACACCGCCAGCGACUUACAGGUUUCACAUCAGUUUGAAGUGGGAGACACAGUCCUGGUGAGGAGGCACCGAGCGGGGAACCUCGAGCCGCGUUGGAAAGGACCCUCCCUGGUACUAUUAACUACAGCCACCACCCUUAAAGUAGAAGGAAUCCCCUCUUGGGUUCAUGCCUCACAUGUUAAGAGGGCUCCCCCUGAGACUGAUCGUGAUGAGUGGACCCUGGAAAAGACUAAUAAUCCUCUUAAGUUGCGCUUGCGUCGCAAGAGCGACUCAGAACAGAGACAUCAACCCUCAUACUCCAACAAUCAUGGGAAGUGCUU